rnacentral:misc_RNA from 1 species
GUCUCGUUUCCAUCAGUUCACAAUACCCACUGUCACCAACACCAGCUACGUUGUUCAUCCGACAACGUUUUCUUCCAUUACAGACAUGUCUAUAGCUGAGUUCUUAGAUGGUAUGCCAUCAUUUGAUGAGCGAAAUUUUUCCAGUUUCCAUUCGGACAAUGGACGAAGUAAACGUGUGCCUGUUUAUAUAUCGACUGAAGAUCAACCAAAUGACCAAAUUAUUGUUACCGACAAGUCAAAUUUAUUACUCCGGUAUUUACACAAUCAAUGGGAUAAAAAGCAUGGAGGUAAGAAGAGAGAAUUAGUUGAUUCUACCGAAGAAGGAGGCUCAACAUCAAGAAAACGUGCAAGAUUAGACUUAGGUGGGGAUGUGUCGCGUUCUGCGUAGUCACACAUGAACACUUACAUAACAAGUGUCUGAACUAUCACGCUUGGUAAGAAGCACAAUUCAAUGUACUACUCAUGUUAUUUUGUGAUUUUUGUUUGAAGAUACAUUUUUGCAAAACUACAGUUAUAAAGGACAAAAAAAUAAGAAAGUCUUCUCUAUUUUGGUUUUUUGUUCAACAAUUUGUGAGGACGCUAUACUCGCAUAUGUUAUCUCCGUCAAACAUAGUAUUAAUACUUAUUAAUAUUUUAUACAAAAAUAACGUUUAUUAUGAUGAAAUUAAAAUAACU